GCCGCAAUAGCUCAAUUGGCAGAGCAACCGCCUUGUAAGCGGUAGGUUGCUGGUUCGAUUCCGGUUUGCGGCACCA
rnacentral:tRNA from 1 species